rnacentral:ribozyme from 1 species
UGCUCAACAACUCCUAUCCAUACCUCCUCGUGGUACCGGUCGGAAACUAUGAGCACAACCUUAGGGAAGAUCGGGUAACCAAUCCCUUGGGGAACUUUGGUCAUAGGCUGACAGGGAAUG